rnacentral:rRNA from 1 species
UACGGAGGAUCCAAGCGUUAUCCGGAUUUAUUGGGUUUAAAGGGUGCGUAGGCGGCCUGUUAAGUCAGAGGUGAAAGACGGUAGCUCAACUAUCGCAGUGCCUUUGAUACUGAUGGGCUUGAAUGAACUAGGAGGUAGGCGAAUGAGACAAGUAGCGGUGAAAUGCAUAGAUAUGUCUCAGAACACCGAUUGCGAAGGCAGCUUACUAUGGUUUUAUUGACGCUGAGGCACGAAAGCGUGGGGAUCAAACAGG